AGUCGAGAAUUUUUCUCAAUGGGCGAAAGCCUGAAGGAGCGACGCCGCGUGGGGGAUGAAUGGCUUCGGCCCGUAAACCCCUGUCAUUUGUGAACAAAUUGUUUCACCCAACACGUGAAGCAUUGCUUGUAACGAAAGAGGAAGGGACGGCUAACUCUGUGCCAGCAGCCGCGGUAAUACAGAGGUCCCAAGCGUUGUUCGGAUUCACUGGGCGUAAAGGGUGCGUAGGCGGUCGGGUAAGUCUAGCGUGAAAUCUCCAAGCUCAACUUGGAAACUGCGUUGGAUACUAUCCGGCUCGAGGAAUGGAGGGGAGACUGGAAUACUUGGUGUAGCAGUGAAAUGCGUAGAUAUCAAGUGGAACACCAGUGGCGAAGGCGAGUCUCUGGACAUUUCCUGACGCUGAGGCACGAAAGCCAGGGGAGCAAA
rnacentral:rRNA from 1 species